rnacentral:lncRNA from 1 species
GUGAAGCGAAGUCACCACAGUCAAAGGAGCCUGGCAUUGCCUAUAAACGCCAUGGAAACACAUGCAGGAGCAUACACAGAUAUGCUCAUAAAUGCCUUAGGUACACCUCACUAGUACCUGUGGUUUUCUCCUACAACACACAUCAGCCACUAAAGGGCUCCAAAACUCAGCUUGAGGACACGUUGCCUUCUUCUUUCUGUUUUGCAAGGACAAAUCUGACAGAAACGUAGAAUCUGUGUAGAUAUUUAAACAGCCCAGGCGACAGGGAAAGCCUUCAGCCCGACCAUGAAGGAUAGACUUUACGACAACAUCCACUAUACAGAUGAGCCCUCAAAUUAGUGCAGGAGCCACGAGUCCCGGGGCUCGAGGAGAGAGGCGGCCACCGCUCUACCUCUGCCACCGGCCGCACCGCCAGGGGCAUCCAUCACAAAGCUGUCUGCUGCUUUCACAACCAAAGUCUUCGGAGCAUUUAAGACAGUGGUCUAUAUUUCACCCUGUAUGUGGUUCCUCUUCAUCCAAAGUAGAACAAAACGCUAAGACAAUACUUAGAUUAAAAUGGUGUAAAUGCCAAGACCUCAUGUGCGACCCCACAGACAGUUGAACGUAAACACCGCGUUCAUGAGGCACCCGCCUAUCCCAGUCACCUACACGCAUCCACCUGGGAGCUUCUGGAGGCAUUAUCACCUCCCCGGUACAGAUGGGGACUUGAAUGCUGAGAAAAGGAGAGCAACAUGGCGGAGUUCAGACCAUGCCUACUGAGGUCCAAGUCUGGAGUCUUGACCAUCAGGUUCAGGUCACAGGGGCCAAACUGACCUGAUGGCCAAGUGCCCUUUUCCUCAGUCAGGCCCAAUCCCACCAUCCAAGAGACACUGCCACUUCCAUUCAGACUUCCAUGCAGUGAGUAUUUACUGUGUGCUGGGCACUCAGUAGGUCCUGGGGAUAUUGCACAGACCCAAUCCCCACCCUCAGUGGACUUGCAACCUGGUGGGACAAAUGGACAGUAAACACUCCAAUUAAAUAUCGAGUCAAAGGUGUGAUGAGUUCUAUGAAGAAAAAGGACAGGGUAAAACAAUAAAAAAUAACCAGUGGGAGUGGGGCAACCUGAACAGAUCCUGGCAGAACAGGUUCCAGGUCUAGUCUUCAUAGGAGAAGUCCCUGUUGUCCAUCCCCUGGGUCAGGCUGAGUGGGAAGGAGGCCACCUCACCAUCCUGGCAGAGACUCUGAGCUGCCUAGUGGGAACAAACAUGAGAAAGCUUCUCCAGGCCCAUCACACUCAGCCAGCUUCUUUGUUGCCAGUUCCCCCAGGACCACUAUCUCCCUUAACUCAUUUGUUGGAGAUCCUUCCUAGGCUUCUGAAUUUGACAGUGAGCCUUGUCCAGCUGACUUUCCAACAGCCCUUACAGUGACAUGGCACCUGUCCAGGUGGAGCUGACCACCUGGCAAUCAGAGCCACAGCAACUCACGCCCUCAACAGUAGCCUCCCACAGCUCUCAGGCCCAGGCUGGUAUCAGUCUCCCUUUAGCAGCCUUUCCCUCUCCUCCUGGGUCCUCCAUUCUCCCUGCAUCCUCCAUAGUCGAACUUAAGGGAGGCCUGCUACUCUCCUGACAGGUAACAGCAGGUGCCCUACUCCCCUCAACAGAUAGAACCUCAUCAACUUGAGGGUAGAGAGUUUGGUUUUCAGAUUUAGAUCAUGAAAGAGCCAUGAAGUUGAGAGUGUGCUCCUGGGUCAAGAAGAUCUUAGGCAACACUGUAAAUGCAGGGAAUGUUGUCUUUGGAACUGAUUGUCUCUCCUUUCCUCUCCUACCCAUCUUGCACAUUUUGUCCCUGAAAGGCAAAUGUGACUGUGCGCAAGUCUUGAUAUUUUGCCCAGGCAGCAGGAAGCCAUUGGGACGCUACGGACAUCCUAACUAGCCCAGCAGAGUGGUACAUACACUGGGGACAAAGGCAAGAUUUCCAAGAGGACCUGGAAUUACCAGACAUGCCAGGUCAGCAAGGUCAUGACUAAUGGGUAACUUUGAUCCCUGGAUUUCUAAUGGCACUCAAGUGUGGUGAUGGGUCUCCAGGCAGACUGGACAUUGGGCAGCUGGUAAAGAAGAAAUGGUCUCUGGGAGAUUUUCCCACAGCCUGAAGAGGCCCAAGCCAGGGAGGAUGCAGGACAAAACCAAUGUUAGUCCCUGAGGGGAAGCAGAAGGAGAAUAGAGGUGAAAGAGGGGUAUCCAGGAUGUGACUCGAAAGACAUCAAGAGCUGGUGCUUGAUGAUCAUGUGGGAUCUGUGUAGCUAUGAGUUAGACCAUCCUGGGACUAGGACCCAGAAAAUGAUUAAUCCUAACAUUUCGUCUGCUCAGGAUUGGCCGUGGAACCAAAAUGGCAGGGUAGACAUGUGGGAGCUUAGCUGUGAGAAGCCUGGGAAGAAGGGUCCACUACCACCUCCCCAAUUGCAAUUCUCUUGAAGAGAGAUGUAUUAAGCCAAAGAACGGGAUUUCUUAAGAGAAGGGUAUGGACAGGAAAUAGGUUGCUGAGUCCCAACAAAUCAUGAAGAGAAAUGUAACAGAACAGAAAGUUUCUAGAGUGGGACAUCAGAAAGAUGUGGGUGUGAAUUCCAGUUCAACCGCUUAACAGUUACGUGUGCCAGGAAAUCUCAGAGCUUCCCCUGCCUUAUCUGUUAAACAAGGAAAAUAGUAAUAAGGCCUACCUAUAGUAGGCACACCCAUCAUGCCUCCCUACUCAAGCUUCUUUCUGAGCCCUCAGUCCUGGCAGCAUCUGGGCCAUGUCAACCUACCUAAAUCUGUCAUCUACUUAUAUCCGUCAUCUCUGGCAUUGGACCCAGGCUGGAUCCCAGACUGAAUCUAGACCAAUGGGCACCUGGGAAUUCAGAUUUGGGACUUUGUAGGCAAAGCUGGUUAUCUGUGAGUAGAUGAACUUCUAGGUUAGGUAGACUCGGUCACUAAGAGCACCACUGGUGUGCAAGCAGUUGAAUGAGAAGACGUGCAGCAGGAAGCAAAGAUAGCGAAAUUUCUUUCUCUAGCCCUAGUCCCCACAAGGCUGCAAUUAGAUUCUAAGGGAUUUAUCUAUAUGUAACAAUAAAUUUUCCUUUUAUUUGAGCCUCUUUGAGAGAGUUUCUGGUGCAUGCAAGCAUUUUGCCCUGAUUGAGAUCCUCAACAAAUAGUAGCAAUUACAAUGAUGACUCCAAGACGAGUACAGUGACGAAGAUGAUGACUUCCAUGACAUCAAAUGCUCUUGUGUAAGAUCAGCCCUGCCCUGGGUAAAGCUCCUUAUAAAUCGUUGACCUACCCAUGAGAUCACAACAGAGAUAAGAUAAAUCCUCAGACCUUGCUACUCAAGGUGCAGUCUUCGGGCCAGCAAUGUUAGCGCCUCUUGGAAGUUUGUUAGAAGUGAAGAAACUCAGACUGCACUCCACAUUUAGUGAGUCAAAAUCUACAUUUUUAUAAGCUCCCCAGGUGAUUCGUAUGCACAUUAAGUUAAAGAAGCACUACUCUGUUAAUAAUACCUGCCAAGGGACAAAAGGUCCCCAUCAGCCAAUCACCUGGUCACCAGAACUGGCUCAGGGGAUGUGGUCAGCUGAGCACAUCUCCCGUUCCUCCUUUAUGACUCUGUAUAAGCCCUCCCAAAUCUAAAUGCCAGAUUUAAGAGGAUGACCUCCCUGCCAAAAAGUGGCCCAUUCUUCUGUCAAGAAGAAAAGCAAGACUCAGCAUCUCAAGUGACAUGCAUCGGCCGUUUGAUCCUGGACGAGUUGCAUGGCCCCAUUAAUUUACAGGAUUUAACACCCAUUUCUCAUGUUAUAAACCCUCAAAGGGUUCUGUCCAGCACCCAGCACACCAAAUAAACAUGUCUAUUAAAUAUAUGCUGCAGGCUUUUUCAGCCCCCACCAUCUGAAAAGCUGGUGGAGGCAACUUGCAAAGCACAAUGAGAACUUAAUUGAAAUCAGGCAGCUUUCAUCUGCCAGCGACCUGAUUUUCAGUAAAACAGGAAUAACUACCUAUCCCAGGGUUUUAAUGACACAAUAAAAAGUUUAAACUAUGGAUUUCAUUGAGUCAGAAUAAGAACGCAUAUGCUUGUUUACUUAUUCAUUCAUUCGCUUUUUCCAAAUACCCUGUUCUGACAGAGGGCGGAAAGAGAAGCAGGUCUCCUUCUCUGUGUCUGGAUGAGGAGACGGGGCUUGCCAUAGGGGCGACAUCCGAUCCAAGGCUGACUCUCAGGAACUAAUGACUAGAUUUCUUUUCAAGUUUUUUCAUUGAUUUGACGGUGGGUGAGAAAGUAAGAUGUGUGAAUUAAAUCGAAAAGGGCAUAUGUCACAGUUGGUGACUCAGCGUGACUCAAAUUCUGGUUAUGACUCAGGACCGUGUGAGCUUGCUCAAGCCACACAUGGAUCAGAACCUGAAUGACACCUUCUGUAAGAGAGGACAGCACUUGUGGGCUUAUUCUAAGGAUUGAGGAAAAUGUCAUUUCAAAUCAUUAUUGUUCCGUAGAAGAAGACAUCUUAUGACUGUUAACACCCACCAGGAGUCUCCUGAAGAUGGAGCACCCUAAGCUCGACACCGUCAAAGAGUGAUGGUAGUCAGCACCCAGAGCUGUUGUGUGAAUUAAGUGAGCUGAUGAUUGUGACUAUCUUAGCACAGUGUCUGAAUAUUACCUGUACACUGUAUAGUGUUAGAUACUGUUACUAUCUUUCAGGUCACAGACAUGUUCACGUCCCAGUGACACACUAGCUCUGUGACCAUGAACAAGUUUAUUGAUUGAUAAGCUCUCUUAUUUCAGGAAAGUUUCAAAGCACCUUGUCAGAUUAUCUCAGUUUCCUCAACCAUACAAUGGGACUGUUUGGAAUAUCAUAUGAGAAGACAGAGAGAAAAAGAGUUGCUGAUAUUUUUCCUUUUAUUUCCCAAAUCUAUUCUUUGCUUGGCUCUGUGCCAGGGGAGGCUGACCCUAACAAACCACAGCUGACAAAGGCUGACUUCCCUUUGGCUUUGCCCAACAGGAGGCCAGUAGGAUAAGGAGGAUGGUAAGAGAGAGAGGCAGGAGGAUUUCUUCCUCUUGCCCUCCCUGCUUCAGUGCAGCAUCUCUGACACCAUCAGCAUCCUCAGGGUUGCAGCUUUGUCAAGUGGCCCUUCCUCCAGGACUGCGUCUCUCCCUAGACCUAUAGCACUAUUUCCCCCAUGUUCCACUUCAGAGCCAAGUGGCAACAGCUCCCCACUGUUGCUAGUCUCUCAGUGCCUCAACAUAUCUCUUACCAUUAUCCAUCCCUCUGCAGGUAGCCCUUUCUUGAAAAUUUCUUCAUGGAGACACCUGACUGAGUUCUGUUUCCUUCCAGGAUCUUGUAUGUAUCAAAAUACUGGGCCCCAAAAUUGUAGGAGACAUGGUGUUAGACUACCUGUCCAGACAGCUGCCCCUUCUUUGGAAUUGCUCUUCAGCCCCUUCAGAAGGGACGGGGAUAGAAGCCUAACCUAAAGAGAAUGAAUCCAUAGGCUGGAUGGAGCCCAUUAAAUAUUUUCUGGAGAACUGGAGCUAAGAGAAAGAGAGACUGAAUUGGUGAAUGGUGGUGGGGAUCCCAGCCUGACAAGACAGAGGAAGACAAUUUGAAGGCAGAGAAUUUUAUGAUGUUGCUCAGUAUUAGUAGCCCGUAGCUCAGGCACUACCUAGAAUGGGGACUCCCCUGGCUGAGACUUGUGUAACACAGGAGGAGGAGGGACAGGAAUGCAGGUGUGUCACCAGGAAGAACAUUAUUAUCAGCAAUAGGGUAAUGAAAGGAAGUGAUCAUGCACGGAAUUCCAAAAGAUUGAAGCAUAGACUUGGUGUUGGAACAAUCUAUCCAUUUGACUUGGGGCAAGCCAUGGGAGCCUUCGAUUGUUCAUCUAUAAGACAAGGGGAUUAUUUUACACACUAGUCUCAAGUCUGCUCCUCCCUCUUCCCCCUCCUGCUCCUCCUCCUCACCUCCCACUCCCUACCCUACCCCAACAUUCCCUUCUAAAACAGGCCAAGCAGCUAAGGGAGUUGCAUCUUUGGAACACUCUUGCCACAAUGGAUGUGAAGAACACCUAUAAGGAAGGAACUGAGGCUGCUCCCGCAUUUCACAUACCACUUUAUGGCAGAUGGGAACCGGAAGUCACUGAUCAGUCAGUCCUUCCUAGCACUGGUGCCAAGAAAAGAAAGCACCUGGGUUUAAUUACCAAGCCCAAGGAGAGUCCUGGGAACGUCUAGUCUCCGUGCCACCUUCAGAUUGUCUCCUUUACUUGGUGGUUUGAUUACCAUAUCUGUCAAAUACAUCUUUUAAAC